CUACGGGACGCACCAGUGGGGAAUAUUGGACAAUGGGGGAAACCCUGAUCCAGCAAUGCCGCGUGUGUGAAGAAGGCCUGCGGGUUGUAAAGCACUUUCGGUUGGGAGGACUGCUUCUAGCACUAAUAUUGUUGGAAGUUGACGUUACCUUCAGAAGAAGCACCGGCUAACUCCGUGCCAGCAGCCGCGGUAAUACGGAGGGUGCAAGCGGUAAUCGGAAUUACUGGGCGUAAAGCGCGCGUAGGCGGCUAGAUCAGUCGGGUGUGAAAGCCCCGGGCUUAACCUGGGAACGGCAUCCGAUACUGUCUAGCUUGAGUACAGGAGAGGAGAGUGGAAUUCCACAUGUAGCGGUGAAAUGCGUAGAUAUGUGGAAGAACACCAAUGGCGAAGGCAGCUCUCUGGCCUGAUACUGACGCUGAGGUGCGAAAGCGUGGGGAGCAAACAGGAUUAGAUACCCGUGUAGUC
rnacentral:rRNA from 1 species